AUUGAACGCUGGCGGCAUGCUUUACACAUGCAAGUCGAACGGUAACAGGCCGCAAGGUGCUGACGAGUGGCGAACGGGUGAGUAAUGCAUCGGAACGUGCCCAGUCGUGGGGGAUAACUACUCGAAAGAGUAGCUAGUACCGCAUACGAUCUAUGGAUGAAAGCGGGGGACCGUAAGGCCUCGCGCGAUUGGAGCGGCCGAUGUCAGAUUAGGUAGUUGGUGGGGUAAAGGCUCACCAAGCCGACGAUCUGUAGCUGGUCUGAGAGGACGACCAGCCACACUGGGACUGAGACACGGCCCAGACUCCUACGGGAGGCAGCAGUGGGGAAUUUUGGACAAUGGGCGCAAGCCUGAUCCAGCAAUGCCGCGUGCAGGAAGAAGGCCUUCGGGUUGUAAACUGCUUUUGUACGGAACGAAACGGCUCUGGUUAAUACCCGGGGCUAAUGACGGUACCGUAAGAAUAAGCACCGGCUAACUACGUG
rnacentral:rRNA from 1 species